rnacentral:tRNA from 1 species
UGCGGCUGGAUCACCUCCUUUCUAGAGACAAAAAAAGAAAAUAGACCCUUACUCUCGCUGUUAAUUCAAAAAAAGAAAAGACUUAAAAUACAGAGUCUCGUAGCUCAGCUGGUUAGAGUACUACACUGAUAAUGUAGGGGUCGGCAGUUCGAGUCUGCCCGGGACUACAAGUAAAUUUGAAAAUUGAUUAAUUUGAAAAUUUGAAAAUGAUUUAAGUUAAAAAGGAAAUUCUAGGGGUUGAGAGGUUAUGAAUACUCAUAACUCAUAACUAAUAACUCAUCACUAAGAUUGGGGGAUUAGCUCAGCUGGCUAGAGCGCCUGCCUUGCACGCAGGAGGUCAUCGGUUCGACUCCGAUAUUCUCCACCAAAUUGAUUUGAAAAUGAAUUGAUUUGAAAAUUUGAAAAUGAAUAACAUCUUCAAAUUAACGAAUCAUCAAAUCUUCAAAUUGAAUAAAGUUCAUUGACAUAUUGAGAUAAACAUACAAACAAGUAGAAAGAACAUCUUUAGCGAUUA